AGUGAACGCUGGCGGUAGGCCUAACACAUGCAAGUCGAACGGCAGCACAGUAAGAGCUUGCUCUUACGGGUGGCGAGUGGCGGACGGGUGAGGAAUACAUCGGAAUCUACUUUUUCGUGGGGGAUAACGUAGGGAAACUUACGCUAAUACCGCAUACGACCUACGGGUGAAAGCAGGGGAUCUUCGGACCUUGCGCGAUUGAAUGAGCCGAUGUGGGAUUAGCUAGUUGGCGGGGUAAAGGCCACCAAGGCGACGAGUCGUAGAUGGUCUGGGAGGAUGGUCAGCCACACUGGAACUGAGACACGGUCCAGACUCCUACGGGAGGCAGCAGUGGGGAAUAUUGGACAAUGGGCGCAAGCCUGAUCCAGCCAUACCGCGUGGGUGAAGAAGGCCUUCGGGUUGUAAAGCCCUUUUGUUGGGAAAGAAAAGCAGCAGGUUAAUACCCCGCUGUUCUGACGGUACCCAAAGAAUAAGCACCGGCUAACUUCGUG
rnacentral:rRNA from 1 species